ensembl:piRNA 21ur-1576 ncRNA
UCAAAAACUCCCUAAAACAAA